rnacentral:misc_RNA from 1 species
CGGGAGAAAACCAAGUGUUGAAGAUAUACAUCUAUAUGGAAGUAAAGUUUUUGUAAGAAAACCAGAACAAAAAAGAGUUUCUAAAUGGGAUAAGAAGGCAGAUAUGGGAAUUUUGUUAGGAUAUAGUGAAGUAGGUUACACAGUCUUAUUAGGUGGGAAAAUAACAAUAGCGAGACAUGUAGAGGUCAUAGAAACAGACACAAAAUGUACCGGUUUUGUGGAGAAUUCAUUCGAUAAAGA